rnacentral:rRNA from 1 species
CCUUUGACGUUAGCGGCGGACGGGUGAGUAACACGUGGGUAACCUACCUAUAAGACUGGGAUAACUUCGGGAAACCGGAGCUAAUACCGGAUAAUAUUUCGAACCGCAUGGUUCGAUAGUGAAAGAUGGUUUUGCUAUCACUUAUAGAUGGACCCGCGCCGUAUUAGCUAGUUGGUAAGGUAACGGCUUACCAAGGCGGCGAUACGUAGCCGACCUGAGAGGGUGAUCGGCCACACUGGAACUGAGACACGGUCCAGACUCCUACGGGAGGCAGCAGGU